rnacentral:rRNA from 1 species
CAGCCGCCGCGGUAAUACGAAGGGUGCAAGCGUUAAUCGGAAUUACUGGGCGUAAAGCGUGCGUAGGCGGUGAGUUAAGUCUGCUGUGAAAUCCCCGGGCUCAACCUGGGAAUGGCAGUGGAUACUGGCUCGCUAGAGUGUGUCAGAGGAUGGUGGAAUUCCCGGUGUAGCGGUGAAAUGCGUAGAGAUCGGGAGGAACAUCAGUGGCGAAGGCGGCCAUCUGGGACAACACUGACACUGAGGCACGAAAGCGUGGGGAGCAAACAGGAUUAGAUACCCGAGUAGUCCCUGUCUCUUAUAC